GUAGGGAAUAUUGCACAAUGGAGGAAACUCUGAUGCAGCGACGUCGCGUGAGUGAUGAAGGCCUUCGGGUCGUAAAGCUCUGUCGCAGGGGAAUAACACAAUGAAGGUACCCUGUAAGAAAGGAUCGGCUAACUUCGUGCCAGCAGCCGCGGUAAGACGAGGGAUCCUAGCGUUGUUCGGAAUCAUUGGGCGUAAAGCGGAUGUAGGUGGCUAUGUAAGUCAGAUGUGAAAGCCUGGGGCUCAACCCCAGAAGUGCAUUUGAUACUGCGUAGCUUGAGUGUCGGAGAGGUUACUAGAAUUGUUGGUGUAGUGGUGAAAUACGUAGAUAUCAACAGGAAUACCGGAGGCGAAGGCGGGUAACUGGCCGAACACUGACACUGAGAUCCGAAAGCGUGGGGAUCAAACAGGAUUAGAUACCCGAGUAGUCC
rnacentral:rRNA from 1 species